GACGAACGCUGGCGGCGUGCUUAACACAUGCAAGUCGAACGGAAAGGCCCUGCUUUUGUGGGGUGCUCGAGUGGCGAACGGGUGAGUAACACGUGAGUAACCUGCCCUUGACUUUGGGAUAACUUCAGGAAACUGGGGCUAAUACCGGAUAGGAGCUCCUGCUGCAUGGUGGGGGUUGGAAAGUUUCGGCGGUUGGGGAUGGACGCGCGGCUUAUCAGCUUGUUGGUGGGGUAGUGGCUUACCAAGGCUUUGACGGGUAGCCGGCCUGAGAGGGUGACCGGCCACAUUGGGACUGAGAUACGGCGCAGACUCCUACGGGAGGCAGCAGUGGGGAAUAUUGCACAAUGGGCGGAAGCCUGAUGCAGCAACGCCGCGUGCGGGAUGACGGCCUUCGGGUUGUAAACCGCUUUCGCCUGUGACGAAGCGUGAGUGACGGUAAUGGGUAAAGAAGCACCGGCUAACUACGUG
rnacentral:rRNA from 1 species